rnacentral:rRNA from 1 species
CCUACGGGGUGCAGCAGUGAGGAAUAUUGGUCAAUGGGCGCUAGCCUGAACCAGCCAAGUAGCGUGAAGGAUGACUGCCCUAUGGGUUGUAAACUUCUUUUGUAUGGGAAUAAAGUCCAGUAUGUAUACUGCUUUGCAUGUACCUUAUGAAUAAGGAUCGGCUAACUCCGUGCCAGCAGCCGCGGUAAUACGGAGGAUUCGAGCGUUGUCCGGAUUCAUUGGGUGUAAAGGGAUCGUAGGCGGGUUGUAAAGUCAGGUGUGAAAGGUGGAGGCUCAACCGUAAAAUUGCAGUUGAUACUGGCAUCCUGGAGUACAGUAGAGGUAGGCGGAAUUCGUGGUGUAGCGGUGAAAUGCUUAGAUAUCACGAAGAACUACGAUGGCGAAGGCAGUUUGCUGGACCGUAAUUGACGCUGAGGAUCGAAAGUGAGGGUAGCAAAUAGGAUUAGAUACCCCAGUAGUC